AUCGCUUCUCAGCCUUUUGGCUAAGAUCAAGUGUAGUUUUGGGGUUUUGUUUGUUUGAUUUUUGGUGUUUUGAGACAGGGUCUUGCUAUAUAGUCCAGGUUGGCCUUGAACUCACUAUGUGGCCCAGGCUGGCCUUGAAUGCAC
ensembl:snRNA U2 U2 spliceosomal RNA